UGUACUUCAGUUAUGGUUUUAAUUCGUUUUUUAUUUGAGAAUACAAUAUUCCAACUUUUUUCAUGCAAUUUUCAAAAUGACAUCAGCAUAUCAAUCGGUAUGUUGGCAAUGACGCUGCUACAUUGUUGUUGAGGUGUACUAUGGUCCGUGGUCGAUCGACAUAAUCCAGGGAUUUCAAAUAACCCCAUAAAAGAAAUCACAGGGACACAAAUCUGAAGAGAGUGCCGCCCAUUGGAGAUCGACUCUGAGAGAACUAAGGCGGGCUCUGUUACUCCUGUUACGCUGAGACUCGUGCUGUUACUCCAUCUUGCUGAAACCAUACGUUUCUAACAUUCUUUUCUUCGAGGCUUGAAAGAAAAAAACUGCGCGUUUGUUUUCUUAAAAAACCGAAGAUUAACUCGUUCACACUCUGGUGCAAAACUUUCGAUUCUAAAAUUUAGCAUCUGCACGUAUGCCAAAAGCACAAUUGGUCAGUCUCAGUAGCUUUAGAUGAUAUUUCAAUUGACCAGGUCGAUUCUCUUAAAAUAUUGAGAAUUUAUAUAUGUAAACUCUCGAUAUAGGUUGGUUCCUCAUAUUGAUUAUUUAGUAUCAUCAAUAUCGAAGCGAUUGAAUAUAGUGAAAUGUCUUUCCUCCUUGAAGUUUAAUUGCGAUGUGCUCUCGAUUUUGUGAGUGAUUGAUUCCACGAUAACAUGUAAAAUACUUUAUGGUUUUACUUCUCAAUGUAAUUUAAAUAAAAUUAAGGUGAUUUAUAAUAGUGCAA